rnacentral:rRNA from 1 species
AUGCGAAGCCGCGAGGCAGAGCGAACCCCCAAAAGCCGUCCCAGUUCGGAUCGCAGGCUGCAACCCGCCUGCGUGAAGUCGGAAUCGCUAGUAAUCGCGGAUCAGCAUGCCGCGGUGAAUACGUUCCCGGGCCUUGUACACACCGCCCGUCACACCAUGAGAGUCGGGAACACCCGAAGCCCGUAGCCUAACAGCAAUGAGGGCGCGGUCGAAGGUGGGUUCGAUAAUUGGGGUGAAGUCGUAACAAGGUAGC